GCGCGAGAUCCGGCGCUACCAGAAGUCCAC
rnacentral:piRNA from 1 species